rnacentral:siRNA from 1 species
UAAUCCAGCGCACGGUAGCUUCGC